AAUGAUAUCAAUAAGACUGAUGGCGACUCGCCGAGAGGCGCCGCAACCUCGAAACUGAACUAAUCCGAAUUCAGAAUAAAAUUGAUCGUCAUGGAGAACAGUGUGCCGCCUCGGGAACAGAACGGAAGAUACCUGAAUCCUUUGAAAAAGGCAGUAGAGGUGUUUAACAGCUACCGCAGUGAAGACUCCCAUGAUAGUUCGAUUCCGGAGUCAAUGGCAUCAGGAGGUGCUAGGUCUGGGGCUCCUUCAGUGGAAGUAUGCAGAAGGCGUACGAUCAUUGUUAAGAAAAGGAGCGGCCACUAUGGGUUCACGUUUCAAAGCUACGGAAAACACUACGAGAGGGGACAAGAUUUGAACAUCGUAACAUACGUGGACCACGUUGACUUCGGCGGCACCGCGGCCGCAGCUGGCUUGAAGAAAGGUGAUGUGAUCAUCGCCUUGAACGGGUAUGACAUCGAAGGAGCUGACCAUGAGACGAUAGUAGAAGCGAUCCUAGCAUCAGACGCAUAUAUCCAUGUUGUGGUCACCUCCGACAACUGCGUCAUUAGUGUAGACCUGUACCACAAUUAUGUGUAUGUAAACCAGCGUUCGAAUAGCGCAGUGGAGGCAGCACUGAAGUUCAAACGACGGGAGCGUCAGAUUCUUGAUUCCAUCUGGAGGAACCACAGCAAUCCGGCGCUGAGUCGUCCCUUCAGAUAUUAUUUCUAAUUUUAUAUUGUCUUCAUUAAACAGAAAUAAUACAUUCAUCUGUUCCACAAAACGCUAUUACAUCUUUCUUACUUCAAA